ACCCUGUUCAGUUGGUAGAGCACGUGGCUUUUAACCACGUGGUCGUGGGUUCGAGUCCCACGGAUG
rnacentral:tRNA from 1 species